rnacentral:rRNA from 1 species
GGGGGUACGUACGGAUUUAUUGGGCGUAAGCGAGCGCAGGCGGUCUUUUAAGUCUAAUGUGAAAGCCUUCGGCUCAACCGAAGAAGUGCAUUGGAAACUGGGAGACUUGAGUGCAGAAGAGGACAGUGGAACUCCAUGUGUAGCGGUGAAAUGCGUAGAUAUAUGGAAGAACACCAGUGGCGAAGGCGGCUGUCUGGUCUGCAACUGACGCUGAGGCUCGAAAGCAUGGGUAGCGAACAGGAUUAGAUACCCUGGUAGUCCAUGCCGUAAACGAUGAUUACUAAGUGUUGGAGGGUUUCCGCCCUUCAGUGCUGCAGCUAACGCAUUAAGUAAUCCGCCUGGGGAGUACGACCGCAAGGUUGAAACUCAAAAGAAUUGACGGGGGCCCGCACAAGCGGUGGAGCAUGUGGUUUAAUUCGAAGCUACGCGAAGAACCUUACCAGGUCUUGACAUCUUCUGACAGUCUAAGAGAUUAGAGGUUCCCUUCGGGGACAGAAUGACAGGUGGUGCAUGGUUGUCGUCAGCUCGUGUCGUGAGAUGUUGGGUUAAGUCCCGCAACGAGCGCAACCCUUAUUACUAGUUGCCAGCAUUAAGUUGGGCACUCUAGUGAGACUGCCGGUGACAAACCGGAGGAAGGUGGGGACGACGUCAAAUCAUCAUGCCCCUUAUGACCUGGGCUACACACGUGCUACAAUGGAUGGUACAACGAGUCGCGAGACCGCGAGGUUAAGCUAAUCUCUUAAAACCAUUCUCAGUUCAGACUGUAGGCUGCAACUCGCCUACACGAAGUCGGAAUCGCUAGUAAUCGCGGAUCAGCAUGCCGCGCUGAAUACGCCCCCCGGGCCCUCAAA